AUUUUAUACUAAGUAUACAUGUAUGUAUUUAUACAUAUGUAUUAUUAUCUAGUGAAUAACUAGUUAUGGGUCAUUACCUAAAGUGAUUUCAUGUAAGGAAUAUGAUUUCUAAAUCAAUUAAGAUAAGAGAAUUGGUGGAGAUAAGUGCCAACUUAACUAAUAAGUGCUUAAUCACUUAAGACAUUUUACUAAGAAUGCUUCUUAAUCCCUCUUCUAAUUUUCAAGAUUAAGACCUUCCCUCUCCUUACCUAGAACUCCUAACUAACUAAAUAUCUAGUAGUUAGUUAGUUAACUAACUCUAUCUCUAAGCAACCACCCAAGCAAGUGGCUAGACAAGAUCACAUCACUUAAACUCACAUCCCAUCACAAGCUAGUCUAGGUUUUGUCCCCUUAUCCUCUUCCACCCUUUCCUCCUUCAUAACCACGAAAUUUCCUCUUCAUUUUACCCUCAUUUGACCAGCCAAUACUCCAAGUAAUUACUCUCAACCUUCAUCUCAUUUUCAAGCACAAGAACUUCCUUCCAAAGCCAUCAAAACCAUGAACAAAAGGGUUGCUGUCCCUUUUGUGUUUCAGCCACCAUUUCACCCAUCUACACCUUCCUUUUGCUUGAUAUUUUUACCACCAAAUACCCCUGGAAGUUACUUGUUUUGAUACUCAAAAUUAUUGAUUCAAAACAGUGAGUAAACUACCCUUUUUCUUGCACUUUUGCUGUGAAAUUUUCGUGACAGCAACAUAGCCAAAAGAGUGGCUGUUUUGGAGCAUCAAACCAACAACCAAAAGUUCAUCUUCAACUUUCCAUUCUUCAAGUAUUCACAUAAGGGAACCGCUAAGCAGAUUUGGAAAUCAACUUUUGGGGAUUAACGUGCUGACGUUAAUUACUUCUUUUGAAGGAUGUUUUUGUAUUUAUCUUUUGAACAAGUAACGAAUACGAUUAUGUAAACAUUUUGGAAACUUUAAUAUAUAUGGUGGUGUGUACUUUCCUUUC